CAGUAGCUACUCUAUAAAUCCUGUGCUGUAUAUUACAAGAUGUUAGCCUCCUUCUGUCUCCAUCCAGGAACCACAACAUGUCAUUACCUGAGACUUAAAGAGAGAAACGAUAAGCAAUAGCUUGUUAUCCCCCUCCAGGGAAGAUAGGGAGGAAAACAGGACAACAACCCUAAGAACACAGCCAAGAUAAUGAAGGAGUGGCUUCGGGACAAGUCUCUGAAUGUCCUUGAGUGGCCAAGCCAGAGCCUGGACAUGAACCCGGUUGAACAUCUCGAGGGACCAGACAAUUGCCGUGCAGCAAUGCUCCCCAACCAACCUGACAGAGCUUGAGAGGAUCUGCAGAGAAGAAUGGGAGAAACUCACCAAAUACAGGGGUGGAAAUGACAGCCAACACCAAAAUGGAAACAUCAGAGAAAAAAAAA
rnacentral:lncRNA from 1 species